rnacentral:lncRNA from 1 species
GUUAAAUAUGAAAACAAUUAAAUAUUGUGUCGUCUCCUCCUUUUUUUGUUUUUGUUUUUUUCUUUUGUGGCCACCUUUUGCACUAGACCAUCCCCAUUAUUGGUGGUAUUGGCCUAUGAGUUCCACAUGACAAAUUCAAGUCUUAUUUAUUUAAUGUAGGAUAGAGUUUGCUUAUGAAAGGAAAGAGGCAUACUUUUUAAUUGGUCUACACAGAAAAGUAAAAGUAAAUUAUUCAUUUAAAUAAGAUUCAUUAUCUAAUGAACAUUGAAGGAAAUAUUUUUCCUAAAUAAAAAAUAUUGUGACUCCUAAUAAAAUUAAAGUGAUGACAUUGUUCUUUUUUUGGGAGGUGGGGAGGGGGGUAUUUAGUUGCCGUAUUUCUUAUUACAUAGCAAUUCUAUUUUAUUGGUAUUAAUAAUAGAAGCUGUAAUGAUAAGGGUAUACAUAUGUACAUGGCCAGGAAUAAAUUGCCACUCUUCCAGAUAACUGUUCUAUGAGUCUUACUAGUUUAUAAAUUAGUUUAUGAAAUUUUUUAAGACCAGUGGUAUAUUUUAUAAUAUUACAAAUGCAUUCUUUACAAAAGCUGGUCAAAAUUAAAAGAACCAUGAAAAAUAAUCACAUUAACCUUAAUAUUAUAUGACUGAGCUUUUAUUAUUCAGUUGGAUUUGAUGUGAAAUGGACUGCUCUAACCAUGGUAUAUUAACUUUAGAAAUAAAAAGGGGAGAAAUGACUGAAUUUGACUUAAGAAUUGGAUUAGAAAUUUUGAAAUGCCACGUGCUGUGUGUUCUGGCCAGCUCGAAGCCACUUUGCCAGCUCAUUGCCGACUGAAGACCCCAGCAUGGUUUCUACAUUAACAUGUUGGAAUAAUAAGUAAGAGAAGAAAUUUCAAUGUAUAAUAGAUGUAUAAAGAAUUACAUUUAGUAAAUGGAUAAUAGGUGAUAACACUUCCAGGUUAUUGGUCUGUUUGUUUUUUUUAUGUAUUAUUUUAGGUAGUGUUUAUAAGAAUAUCUUGGGAGUUAUAAAUGUGUGCCAUUUAAGUGAGUAAAGUUAAUGAAAUAAAACUAGUUUUAUUGCCAAAGUUCAAAAAGUGGGGUGAUACUAUGUCAAAUUUUAGUAAAUGACCUACCUCUCAGAAUAUUGCCACUGAAUUCCAUUUCUAUCC